GAUGUUAUGUCUGAAAAUAUGUGUUCUAGUACUUCUAAUGGAAGUGAAUUUACCAUUAUUGUACGGUAAUGAGGGGCUAAAGUUGACAUUUUUUUUUCUUUUUUUGUACAGAAAGUUCAAGAAAUGAGUGGUUAAUUUCAAGAAUGAGGGACUAAAGUUGACAUUUUUUUUUUAUUUUUUUUUU